GACGUAGGGGGCGAGCGUUGUCCGGAUUUAUUGGGCGUAAAGCGUGCGUAGGCGGCUGCGCAAGUCGGGUGUGAAACCCCGGGGCUCAACCCCGGAACUGCAUCCGAUACUGCGUGGCUAGAGGUAGGUAGGGGAGGUCGGAAUUCCUGGUGUAGCGGUGAAAUGCGCAGAUAUCAGGAGGAACACCGAUGGCGAAGGCGGAUCUCUGGGCCUUACCUGACGCUCAGGCACGAAAGCUAGGGGAGCGAACAGG
rnacentral:rRNA from 1 species